GACGAACGCUGGCGGCGUGCCUAAUACAUGCAAGUAGAACGCUGAAGGAGGAGCUUGCUUCUCUGGAUGAGUUGCGAACGGGUGAGUAACGCGUAGGUAACCUGCCUGGUAGCGGGGGAUAACUAUUGGAAACGAUAGCUAAUACCGCAUAAGAGUAGAUGUCGCAUGACAUUUGCUUAAAAGGUGCAAUUGCAUCACUACCAGAUGGACCUGCGUUGUAUUAGCUAGUUGGUGAGGUAACGGCUCACCAAGGCAACGAUACAUAGCCGACCUGAGAGGGGGAUCGGCAACACUGGGAGGGAGACACGGCCCAGACGGCUACGGGAGGCAGCAGUAGGGAAUCGUCGGCGAUGGACGGAAGGCUGGCCGAGCAACGCCGCGUGAGGGAAGAAGGUUUUCGGAUCGUAAAGCUCUGUUGUAAGAGAAGAACGAGUGUGAGAGUGGAAAGUUCACACUGUGACGGUAUCUUACCAGAAAGGGACGGCUAACUACGUG
rnacentral:rRNA from 1 species